AAGGAACAGAGGAGUAGCACCAGGAGACAGCGCAAUACUUCAGGAUAUUGUGAAGAUUUCAGGCAACAAGAUGACUUUCAGGCACCACUGAAAAGAUCCUGACUCCAUCCUUUUCAGUCACCUCCUCCAGGUGGGGAUCAACAACUCCUGAGUCUGGAAGAGCUGAUCCUUGAAAAUCAGUCAGCCAUCCUGAACUCCUCCUCUCUUCUGCAAGAGGGUGUCACAUUGGAUUCUUCCAGGAUUCUUCCAUUGAUUACUUUCCUGAUGUCCAGGGCUGUUAAAUUGCUGUCUUCUCUCAGGAGCCUGAGUUCCAUCUGCUCCUGGCAUUCCCCUUCAGGAGUUCAGUGCUGGGGCCAGUUCUGUUCAAUAUUUUUAUUGACGACAUGGGUGAGGGUGUUGAGUCUUUCAUUAGCAAAUUUCCAGAUGACAGUAAGUU